GCCCGCUUAGCUCAGUGGUCGAGCGUUAGCUUUGGAAGAUAAAGGUCGGUGGUUCAAUUUCACUCGGGCGCA
rnacentral:tRNA from 1 species